rnacentral:rRNA from 1 species
AACGAACGCUGACGGCAUGCCUAACACAUGCAAGUCGAACGAUGGCUUCGGCCAUAGUGGCGCACGGGUGAGUAACACGUGGGAACCUGCCUUUCGGUUCGGAAUAACGUUUGGAAACGAACGCUAACACCGGAUACGCCCUUCGGGGGAAAGUUUACGCCGAGAGAGGGGCCCGCGUCCGAUUAGGUAGUUGGUGGGGUAACGGCCUACCAAGCCGACGAUCGGUAGCUGGUCUGAGAGGAUGAUCAGCCACACUGGGACUGAGACACGGCCCAGACUCCUACGGGAGGCAGCAGUGGGGAAUAUUGGACAAUGGGCGCAAGCCUGAUCCAGCCAUGCCGCGUGAGUGAUGAAGGCCUUAGGGUUGUAAAGCUCUUUCAGUGGGGACGAUAAUGACGGUACCCACAGAAGAAGCCCCGGCUAACUUCGUGCCAGCAGCCGCGGUAAAAC